rnacentral:tRNA from 1 species
GUUUGUGGCUCAGUGGUAGAGUGCUCGCCCAGCACAUGCGAGGCCCUGGGUUCAAUCCUCAGUACUACA